AAUUGUUUGCCAAUGACACUUUUCCCAUCUUUAUAUUUGUUCACUUACAAUCUCAAAAAUUAAACUUUAAUGGCCUCUGUUUCUUAUUUAGUUGGAUUGAUAGGGUAAAUUUACUUUCUUGUUUCAUGCCUUCAUAUUUGGUGAAAAACAUGGGGGGUAAUUGGUAUUUUGCAUCCUCGAAUUACAUGCAUUUGGCACUUUGGACCCUUCAAUUGAAACAGUAGCAAUUUGCACCCUCUAAUUACAACUUGCUUGACAUUUUGCACCCUGCUACAUAUUUGGUUGGAAAAAUGACCUGCAACCGGUUCUAACAGUUUCCUCACCAUCUUUCCCGUUGAAUUCUCUUCCACCAGUGUUCCAAACAUCUUUUCAAGACCCUUUUAACUUUUCCUCCUCCGCAUGGCUGCAUCCUCAACCGCCAUCGUCGGAUGCUCCAAAAUCCUCAACUUCCUUAUACCUCUCCAGUCUCUUAUAACCAAGACGGCUGCUGCUUAGAUUAUGACAUGUUUCACAAAUCCAUAUGCCUGAACACUUUAUGUUUUUCUUUUUAUUUGUUUCUUUGUUUGUUUUUUUAGAAAAAUGCCACGAUGAGGAGGUGUUAGACGAGCGAGCCGUGAGAAUUCAUCACAACCACAACCACAAACACCUCUAUCAAAGCAAGGGGAAGUUAGAGAUUCACAAUCAAGUCUUGCAUCACAACAAAGAAUCUCGAGCAACCGAAUAUUGCUGAAAGUGGAUAGAGACAGGUAAAUUUAUUUAAUAUUUGAAACAUAUAUUAUUGUGAAAGAAUAUUAAUUAUAGUUUAUUGAACAGUUUUAAUCCUUCGAAUGCUUCGAGAAAUUUGGUUAUAAUAUUCAAGAAAUCAUUUAGCGGUCUAUGGCCUACAUGGAACAGUGUCCCAAAUCAUGUCAGAGAUAGUUGGUUUGGAGAAUUUCAGGAUAAAUUUUCGACAAUCAUCAAGCGAAGGCGUUUAGAUAACAAUGACGAUGGAGAAGGAAAUGAGGAUACAACAAUAAACGACGACGAGGAAGAAGAUUAUGCUAAUGGAGAUGAGGCCUUCAUGGAAAUGGUGCAUGCUCUACCUAAAGAAGUUGUUGAUAAUGCUUGGCUCGAGGCAACUGGAUGACCAAUUAAAGGAAGAGUUAAUGGUCUCGGAUCAGAGUCUGCUAAUUUUAUACAUCAUGUUAACUUUAUUUCUAAUGCUUCAACGAGUUCUUCAUCAACACCACGAACGUCUUCUCAAAACAUGGUUGAUAGUCCUACUUUCGAAGAAGUUGUUAAUCGAUUGGUGGAGCAAAAGAUUACAGAUAUGCGUGCAUCUUUUGAAGAGCAACUACAAGCCGGUAUCCAAGCUGCCAUUCAGGCCGUGCACCAAAGUGAACCAAGAGGAUCUACUAGAGAUACACGGUCAGCAACAUAGUUAUGGGAUAAGAUUAAAAUUAAUAUUUUUAGAAGAACGUUAUUUUUUUCUAGAACCUGAUGUUGGACAUUCUAUUGAUAUUGUUUAGCUUAAAAUAUUUUUUGCUAACUAGUUUUCAGUCUUGCACUUUAGUAUUGUAUCAAAUGUUUAUUUUAUGAGCAUAUUUGGAUGUUU